GACGAACGCUGGCGGCGUGCCUAACACAUGCAAGUCGAACGGAAAGGCCCUGCGUUUGUGCGGUGCUCGAGUGGCGAACGCGUGAGUAACACGUGAGUAUCCCGCCCUUGACUUUGGGAUAACUUCAGGAAACUCGGGCUAAUACCGGAUAGGAGCUCCUGCUGCACGGUGGGGGUUGGAAAGUUUCGGCGUUAGGGGAUGGACUCGCGGCUUAUGCGCUAGUUUGUGGGGUAGUGGCUUACCAGGCGUUCGACGGCUAGGCGGCCUGAGAGGUUGACCGGGGACAUGAGGACUAAGAUAGGCAGCAGACGGCUAUGGGAGGCAGCAGUGGGGAAUAUGACGCAAUAAGGCGGAGCCUGAGACAACGGCGCCGGGUGCGUGAUGCCGGCCUUCGGGUUGUGAACCGCUUUCGACUGAGACGAAGCGUGAGUGACGGUAAUGGGUAAAGAAGCACCGGCUAACUACGUG
rnacentral:rRNA from 1 species